rnacentral:rRNA from 1 species
CCUACGGGAGGCAGCAGUGGGGAAUUUUGGACAAUGGGCGCAAGCCUGAUCCAGCAAUGCCGCGUGAGUGAAGAAGGCCUUCGGGUUGUAAAGCUCUUUUGUCAGGGAAGAAACGGUCUUGGAUAAUACCUGGGGCUAAUGACGGUACCUGAAGAAUAAGCACCGGCUAACUACGUGCCAGCAGCCGCGGUAAU